rnacentral:lncRNA from 1 species
AAAUUAUACAUGAGCAUUACUCAUGUCAAUCAUAUAUAAACAUUCAUGAGCAUCACUCAUGUCAAUCAUACAUAAACAUUCAUGAACAUCAUUCAUGUCAACAUUCAUGAGCAUCACUCAUGUCAACAUUCAUGAGCAUCACUCAUAUAAACAUUCAUGAGCAUCACUCAUGUCAAUCAGCUUCAAAAGCUUCAUUUACAGAGCUCUAGCUUUGAAAGCUUCAUGUACAAAGCUCCAUCUUCGAAGCUUCAUUUACAAAGCUCCAGCUUCAAAAACAUCACUUGCAAAGCUUCACCUACAAAGCUUCAGUGCAGGGUAUACAAAUAUCGCCUUCGAAAAACCGCCACUUAGGCCCAUACAUGCAUUCAAUUUGAAGUCUCCAGCCAACAGACUCUACUGACUGAAGACUUGGGGGACUACACUAUGUACCAUAUAUUAGGCCUCAACUAGGCCUCAUGAAAAAUACUUAGGGGACUUAGCCCAUUAUUUAUGUAUUGAAGAGCGAGCCCUUAUUCUAUAAAAGGGACUCCCUCACUUUCAUUAGAAAGCACCUAUUAUUCAUGUACUGGGGAGCGAGCCCUUAUUUUAUAGGGACUCCCUCACCUUCAUUAGAAAGCAUCGUCGCCAACUGAGCAACCGCCUCGUCGCGAGCAUCAUUCCUAACCCAUAAUUUAUGUACUGAGGAGCGAGCCUUUAUUUUAUAAAAGGGACUCCCUUACCUUCAUUAGAGAGCAUCGCCGCCAACUGAGCAACCACCUCGCCG